rnacentral:rRNA from 1 species
UACGAGUGGUGCAAGCGUUAUUCGGAAUCAUUGGGCGUAAAGGGUGUGUAGACGGUAUGUCAAGUCAACUGUUUAAUUCUCCGGCCUAACCGGAGGCUAGCGGUAGAUACUAGCGUGCUAGAGGGUGGAAGAGAGAAGUGGAAUUCUCGGAGUAGCGGUAAAAUGCGUAGAUCUCGAGAGGAACACCAAUGGCGAAGGCAGCUUCUUGGUCCAUACCUGACGUUGAGGCAUGAAAGCGUGGGGAGCAAACCGG